AUAAAGAAUAAUGAAAAUUGUUAUACACAUUAUGAGGCUGUCACAUGGCUAAACGUGGUGUGCCCUGGUACAUAGACUAGUAAUGUGUAUUCAUUAUCCUCUCCUGCAUGUCUUUCGCUGGGUCUUGUCCUCAAGCUUUAAAAGUUCAUCGAACAUUUUGACUUCAUUAAUCAUGGUAGAUUGACGGUUGUGCGUGUUAAACUAACACGUGUUAAGCAGCCUCCACCUUCAUGAAAACAGUACAAGGAGCACCCUUAAUAUACCAUAAGACAGCUUGAAAUGUUUACUUUGUCUUGAGAUUAUUGUUCAUUAUUUUACCUCAUGGCAAACUUUUGUCUUUUUAAUCACCUUAUCUUGGCACCUGUGCACUACAUCUACCUAUUCACUUACUUGCACAUGUCAGCAUCGAGGAGCUUUUCUGCCAGCUGGGAGACACUCUUGAGUGUGAAUGCGAGUGCAAUCACAGACAUUCGCCUGCCAUCCUGGGUAACGAGCCUUUCAUUGGCCAAGCGCAGCUGCAUGAGUUCUAAGCUAGUGGCUUCCAUGGUCUCUCUCUGGAAAGCUAACGUUGAUGGCCGCAGUGGAGCCUUGAAGCCAGUGGCGACAGGGUUGCUGGAGUUCAGCAGGUCGAAUGCACUAGAAAGGAAAUGAUUAUCAGCAACCAACAUUAUUAAUAAUGGUGUAGUAUUAUUGCCACUUGGACGCUCAAACUGUGAUGGCACAGCACUCUCAAGCAGCAGGCGUUUAUGCAGGCCACUCCUGAAGUCAGAUGGCCUGAAGUGUGCAGAGCACAGCAGGUGGUGAUUUGAAGGUUUGAACUCUGGUUGCCCCAUCGCUUCAAGCCAUUUCUCCAAGAGAGCUGGUUUUUCUAAUGGGAACCUGUAUGAGUUGAAGGUACAAAAUAAAAAAAUAAAUAAUUCAAAUAUAACAACAAUAAAAUGUGUUGGUGCAU